rnacentral:rRNA from 1 species
UACGUAGGGGGCAAGGCGUUGUCCGGAAUCAUUGGGCGUAAAGAGCGUGUAGGCGGCCAGAUAAGUCCGCUGUGAAAACUCGAGGCUCAACCUCGAGACGUCGGCGGAAACCAUCUGGCUAGAGUCCGGAAGAGGAGAGUGGAAUUCCUGGUGUAGAGGUGAAAUUCGUAGAUAUUCGGAAGAACACCAGUGGCGAAGGCGGCUCACUGGACUGGUAUUGACGCUGAGGUGCGAAAGCGUGGGGAGCAAACAGGG